CCCCUUAGAGUUUGAUCCUGGCUCAGAUUGAACGCUGGCGGCAUGCCUUACACAUGCAAGUCGAACGGUAACAGGUCUUCGGAUGCUGACGAGUGGCGAACGGGUGAGUAAUACAUCGGAACGUGCCCAGUAGUGGGGGAUAGCCCGGCGAAAGCCGGAUUAAUACCGCAUACGACCUGAGGGUGAAAGCGGGGGAUCGCAAGACCUCGCGCUAUUGGAGCGGCCGAUAUCAUAUUAGCUAGUUGGUGGGGUAAAGGCCUACCAAGGCGACGAUCUGUAGCUGGUCUGAGAGGACGACCAGCCACACUGGGACUGAGACACGGCCCACACUCCUACGGGAGGCAGCAGUGGGGAAUUUUGGACAAUGGGCGCAAGCCUGAUCCAGCCAUGCCGCGUGUGGGAAGAAGGCCUUCGGGUUGUAAACCACUUUUGUCAGGGAAGAAACGGUCCUUACUAAUAUUAGGGACUAAUGACGGUACCUGAAGAAUAAGCACCGGCUAACUACGUGCCAGCAGCCGCGGUAAUACGUAGGGUGCAAGCGUUAAUCGGAAUUACUGGGCGUAAAGCGUGCGCAGGCGGUUGUGCAAGACAGGUGUGAAAUCCCCGGGCUUAACCUGAGAACUGCACUUGUGACUGCACAGCUAGAGUACGGCAAAGGGGGGAUGGAAUUCCGCGUGUAGCAGUGAAAUGCGUAGAUAUGCGGAGGAACACCGAUGGCGAGGCCAUCCCCUGGGCCUGUACUGACGCUCAUGCACGAAAGCGUGGGGAGCAAACAGGAUUAGAUACCCCUGAUACUCCACGCCCUAAACGAUGUCCGACUGUGGUUUGUUGGGUCCUUCCACUGAACUCAAUAACGAAGCUACGCGUUACGUUCCGCCGCCCUGGGGGAGUACGGUCGCAAGAACUGAAAACUCAAAAGUAAUUGACGGCGCCCGCAUAAGCGGAUAGUGAGAGAAUGCGUGGUUUCUACAAUUCGA
rnacentral:rRNA from 1 species